rnacentral:lncRNA from 1 species
AACCCUAGAGACCCUUUUAAUUUCCGUCUCCAAACUCUCUCAAAAUAAAACCCUAACCACCUUAAUAACCCCCGCCGUCUCUAUCGUGGUCUGCCGACCGGAAAUUGCCUCACAGCGGCGGACCACCUCCAAACUACACCAAAUUAACACCAGACAAUCACCCUCUCCUCCUCUUUCCAUAUCUCAUAACCAUUUCUUUCAAACAAGUCUGGAAAUUCUCGAAUCUUGGAUCUGAAAUCCAAACCCUAGUUUUUUCCGUUUUGAUUUCUGGCCAAUUUCUGGGUCAUUUGAACCCAAGACUUCCAUUAGUCGACUGUUCUUGUUGAGAACAGUAGAUUAAUGAUCGUUCAAGUUCAUUUUACUCCAUUGAAGCUUGUCCGAGUUCAUGACUAGUCCCAAAUUCGAAGCGAGUCUUGGUAAUUCCUUUUCCGUUCUCUUUCCUUUCUUCUUUUGCUCAUCUCUUUCAUCUUCUUUCUUCUUUUAGCCCGCAUGACUUAGGUAACCACAGUUUAGUUCUUGUCCUUUUGCUUGGUAUUGUCUACUUGUUUAUGAAGUAUACUGAAUUGCAUAAGUAUUUGAAGUUUAGUUUCAGUUGCAUGAAUUUAGUUUAACUAGAGUUAACUUUUAGGUUUGAUAAAUAGCAUGAUUUUUCUGUUUUUUUUCAUGUUUCUGUCUUAUGCUUGUUUAUUUUAUGUUCAGUGUUUGGUUUAAGUAAAUUAGAAUAAUUUUGCUCAAGAUGAUUAAUAAGUUGUUUAGUCUAUUUUUUAGUUAGCUAUUAGAAAAAUUGGUUGAUUAAAUUGUUUAACUUGCAAACUGAGUAGGUUAAUUUCUAAGAUUUCUUUGCAGUUUCAUUCUAGUUCUAGUUUGUUUACUGUUUAGAUGUGUUAGUUGUUUAAAUCCAGUUUUGUUUAAGGUUAAUUAGGUGAGCAUGUUAAUUUAUUAAUUAGAUUUAGAUUUGUUUGGUUUAAACCCUGAAUGCCCUUAAUCUCAAGAUUGAUUUCGGAAUUGAAAGGACAUUUGAAAUGUUGGAAUCUCCUAGAUUAUUCUAGGAGGUUCCAUAAGGGUCUUUAAAAUCAGAAUUUGGGUCAGGACUAGUUAGGACUAAAAUAAUCAGUAAAUGAAAGGGUAAAAUUGGUUUUACACAAGGUAAAAAAUUAGAAGGUUCUAGCAUUUUGUAUAGCUGCCCCAUUCUUAGCAAAAAUUGCUGAAAUUGGGUGGGAAAAAGGACAUACAUCUAUCCAAAGAUGAUGUACUAUCUGACCCUUAGGGAAUUUAGGGUAGAAUAUGCUCUUCUGAUGCUAUUUUAGAAUACCCUAUGAAAGAAAAGGGACUCCUUCAUUCUAGACAGAUCUUUUAGAACCCUAAAAACACUCUAAAGGUUCAGCUAUUGUUUCAUUAGGAGUUGAUUCUCUUUUUCUAUGAUUUUAGCAAAAAACUUAAAGAACUUCUUUGGGAUUUUCUGUUUUUCAUCAGUCGAAAAUGGAUUGAAUUGUGAGGCUUUCUUUUCUGGGAUUUACUGCGGUAGUUGCUGUGUUUGCUCAUCUUCCAUUAGCUGUUGUGAGAUUCUGGGCUAGCUAUCAUCGAUUCGGGAAUUUAUUUUCUACUUCUUGUGUUUUGUUGCUACCUGCUACUUUUAGGUAUGCCAAAACACCUUUGUAUUUCUCUUUGAGUAUAAAAAUGAGGUUCCUUAGUUGGUUGAUUCUAUGACUAUGCCUAUUAUUUGAGUUUUUUUGUAUUUGUUUGCUACAUGUGUUACCUAUGUUUCUCUGUGAACAUCAGCUGUAAAUAUCAGCUCUUUCUUUACUCAAUCAUUAGUUGAAAUUUUUUAAGUUAAGACUAUUCUUAAACUAGAUCAGAUGCUAUUGAUAUUUGUUCAUUCUGCUGGAGCGUGUUAGUAAUCAACAUUUAACCUCUUUUAUGAUACAUUUAGUCAUGUAACUCUUGGUCUCAUAAAAAAUUGUACUAAAGCCAUUGUUAGUGAUGUGCUUAACAUGAAAAAUGGAGGUUUUGGGAAGCAUGAGCAACUGCAGGCCAAAGUCUGGAUUCCACAUGUUGAAAUGGACCUUGUAAUUUCAUGAAGUAAAGGUUCGGUGUGUAGAAUUGAGCAUUUUGUUAUAAAAAAGAGGUUAUGAGCCCUGUUUGUGAUGCUACAGAAUGCCAAAAAUGUUAUUUUUUAUUUUUAGUAGUUGUAUCAUUCAUAUUAGAUUUCCAUUGUAAUAUAAAAUUAUCAACUCUUUAGUCGAGUAUUCCCUGAAAUUUGGCAGAAUUAUCUAGUCAUAGUAUGAUUCGAGUAAAACUUGAUUAACUUGGUUUGUGGGGUGAGC